CCUACGGGUGGCUGCAGUGGGGAAUCUUGCGCAAUGGGCGAAAGCCUGACGCAGCGACGCCGCGUGAGUGAUGAAGGCCUUCGGGUUGUAAAGCUCUGUGGAGGGGGACGAAUAAGGGUUGGCUAACAUCCAGCUCGAUGACGGUACCCCUUUAGCAAGCACCGGCUAACUCUGUGCCAGCAGCCGCGGUAAGACAGAGGGUGCAAACGUUGUUCGGAAUUACUGGGCGUAAAGCGCGUGUAGGCUGCUCAGAAAGUCGGAUGUGAAAGCCCUGG
rnacentral:rRNA from 1 species